CAGUCGCCGCGGUAAUACGGAGGGAGCUAGCGUUAUUCGGAAUUACUGGGCGUAAAGCGCACGUAGGCGGCUUUGUAGGUUAGAGGUGAAAGCCUGGAGCUCAACUCCAGAAUUGCCUUUAAGACUGCAUCGCUUGAAUCCAGGAGAGGUGAGUGGAAUUCCGAGUGUAGAGGUGAAAUUCGUAGAUAUUCGGAAGAACACCAGUGGCGAAGGCGGCUCACUGGCCCAUAACUGACGCUGAGGCACGAAAGCGUGGGGAGCAAACAGGAUUAGAUACCCCAGUAGUCCCUGUCUCUUAUAC
rnacentral:rRNA from 1 species